AAUUGGAGGGCAAGUCUGGUGCCAGCAGCCGCGGUAAUUCCAGCUCCAAUAGCGUAUAUUAAAGUUGUUGCAGUUAAAAAGCUCGUAGUUGAAUUUCGGGAUCAAUAUUUCGGUCAUGCCGUUGGUAUGCACUGUUAUCAUUGAUUUCUCACCUUCUAAAGAACCGUAAUGCCAUUAAUUUGGUGUUACGGGGAAUUAGGACUGUUACCUUGAAAAAAUUAGAGUGUUUAAAGCAGGCUCACGCUUGAAUACAUUAGCAUGGAAUAAUGAGAUAGGACAUCCGAUUCUAUUUUGUUGGUUUCUAGGAUCGAUGUAAUGAUUAAUAGGGAUAGUUGGGGGCAUUAGUAUUCAAUUGUCAGAGGUGAAAUUCUUGGAUUUAUUGAAGACUAACUACUGCGAAAGCAUUUGCCAAGGAUGUUUUCAUUAAUCAAGAACGAAAGUUAGGGGAUCGAAGACGAUCAGAUACCGUCGUAGUCUUAACCAUAAACUAUGCCGACUAGGGAUCGGAUGAUGUUAAUUUUUUAAUGACUCAUUCGGCGCCUUACGGGAAACCAAAGUGU
rnacentral:rRNA from 1 species